UGCCUCAGUAACGGCGAGUGAAGCGGCAAGAGCUCAAAUUUGAAAGCUGGCCCCUUCGGGGUCCGCGUUGUAAUUUGCAGAGGAUGCUUCGGGUGCAGCCCCCGUCUAAGUGCCCUGGAACGGGCCGUCAUAGAGGGUGAGAAUCCCGUCUGGGACGGGGUGUCUGCGUCCGUGUGAAGCUCCUUCGACGAGUCGAGUUGUUUGGGAAUGCAGCUCUAAAUGGGUGGUAAAUUUCAUCUAAAGCUAAAUACUGGCCGGAGACCGAUAGCGCACAAGUAGAGUGAUCGAAAGAUGAAAAGCACUUUGAAAAGAGAGUUAAACAGCACGUGAAAUUGUUGAAAGGGAAGCGUUUGCGACCAGACUCGCCCGCGGGGUUCAGCCGGCAUUCGUGCCGGUGUACUUCCCCGUGGGCGGGCCAGCGUCGGUUUGGGCGGCCGGUCAAAGGCCCUCGGAAUGUAUCACCUCUCGGGGUGUCUUAUAGCCGAGGGUGCAAUGCGGCCUGCCUGGACCGAGGAACGCGCUUCGGCUCGGACGCUGGCGUAAUGGUCGUAAAUGACCCGUCUUGAAACACGGACCAAGGAGUCUAACAUCUACGCGAGUGUUCGGGUGUCAAACCCGUACGCGCAGUGAAAGCGAACGGAGGUGGGAGCCCCCUCGCGGGGCGCACCAUCGACCGAUCCUGAUGUCUUCGGAUGGAUUUGAGUACGAGCGUAGCUGUGGGGACCCGAAAGAUGGUGAACUAUGCCUGAAUAGGGCGAAGCCAGAGGAAACUCUGGUGGAGGCUCGCAGCGGUUCUGACGUGCAAAUCGAUCGUCAAAUUUGGGUAUAG
rnacentral:rRNA from 1 species